rnacentral:tRNA from 1 species
CUCGGAUUAGCUCAGUUGGUAGAGCAUCUGGUUUGGGGCCAGAGGGUCAAACGUUCGAAUCGUUUAUCCGAGACCA